CCUACGGGAGGCAGCAGUGAGGAAUAUUGGUCAAUGGGCGCGAGCCUGAACCAGCCAAGUAGCGUGAAGGAUGACUGCCCUACGGGUUGUAAACUUCUUUUAUAAAGGAAUAAAGUGAGGCACGUGUGCCUUUUUGUAUGUACUUUAUGAAUAAGGAUCGGCUAACUCCGUGCCAGCAGCCGCGGUAAUACGGAGGAUCCGAGCGUUCGCCGGAUUUAUUGGGUUUAAAGGGUGCGUAGGCGGCCUUUUAAGUCAGCGGUGAAAGUCUGUGGCUCAACCAUAGAAUUGCCGUUGAAACUGGGGGGCUUGAGGAUGUUGGAGGCAGGCGGAAUGCGUGGUGUAGCGGUGAAAUGCUUAGAUAUCACGCAGAACCCCGAUUGCGAAGGCAGCCUGCCAAGCCAUGACUGACGCUGAUGCACGAAAGCGUGGGGAUCAAACAGGAUUAGAUACCCUUGUAGUC
rnacentral:rRNA from 1 species